GGUGAAAAUGAAAGGGCUUUUGUGGAAAUGAACAGAAGGAACAUAAAGACAGGGAGGGUCAGGAAAUAUUAAAAUUACAUAUUUUAAUGUUUCGAUUAGGUGAAAAUGAAAGGGCUUUUGUGGAAAUGAACAGAAGGAACAUAAAGACAGGGAGGGUCAGGAAAUAUUAAAAUUACAUAUUUUAAUGUUUCGAUUAGGUGAAAAUUAGUGAACCCUCAAGGGGAUAUGAUAGCAAUUUUUUCCACAAAUAAAUCUACUUGUUGCGGCAUGUGCAAUUUUGUCCUUUUAACUAUUUAAAGGUAUAGACAGUAAGAGC
rnacentral:misc_RNA from 1 species